GACAAACAAGGCCAUGGCGGAGCUGGUGAGAGUGCUCGCCGCCAGCCCCAGCGCUGUGAUCUCCCCGUGCUUGCGACCUCUGCAUGUUCGAUUCGCUUGGGCGCGAUCGCGCCAUGUGAUUGUGGAUUGCAAUGCAGGAGACGGUGGGGGUGCUGCGGCGGCUAGGCACGGGAGGGAGAUCGAGGAGGCGGGCCUCACCGAGAGCGAGAGGGAGAGUGCCGCCCCAGCCUCCAGGGCCCCAACCGUCGUCGUCCUCUCUCACCACGAGGGAGGCAUGCUUCAAAAAUUCCUGAGGGGCCUCUUCUCGCUAUGGUCAUGGGAUCACGUCUUCCCCAAGUACAAAAGUGAAAUAAUCAGUAGGAAGGUUUGCCAAAUGAUGAAAAGCUAUACUGUAAGCCAUUCUGAUGCAUUUAAUUAGAGGCUUCAUUGCUCACAAGGAGAACUGCGCAUCAAUAUAUUAAGAAGAAGAAUAAGGGGGUAAAGAGCCCCAAAACAAAACAAAAACUGUUACAGGAUUGAAGGGCCUGUAACACACCCUUAGAGGACACUCUAAGCUGUCUCUUAAGAAAAAACCUAGGCAGGACCAGACCACAAUAUACACCAUUUCAUCAACAGUCCAUCUUGUGAGUUCAAAUUAUGAUUAACUUUGACAAUCCUUCUAAAGUACAGGGUUAUGCAAGGCUAACUCUAGUCGUUAAUUUUAAUGAAGUUUGGUGUCCGUGUCAUUUUACAUUUAUGGGACUUCGUCAUGUCAAGUAUCCUAGCUUUGGUGGUCGCCUCUUGUCAUUAUUGUGAACAUCAAUUCCAAAAACCGCGACCUUUCUUUAUAGACACAUUGUACCUUUCUUUACUUUUCUCUUUCUAUUUUCUAUUUCCCCUUGCAAUGUUAUUUGAAAUGGUGAAAUUGAACAAGUCAACAGCUAGAUGGAGAGUUCAGAAAAUCAUUGCAAGUGGUGCUGCUUUUGGAAGCUACAUAGUUCUUAGUACAGCCAUUUUUUACGGGGUUGCAGAACUGCAGACCCUUUGUCAGUGAUUGCUUUUUCCUUCUGACGAAAGAUAACUUCUUUUGGCUUUGAGGUGGCAGUGAGCUAAUGAUUUAGCACUUGGACAGUGUAAAUCCAAAGAUAAAUCACUAAUGGGCCCUGAUGAAGAAAUCAAUGCUGUUUUGUUCCUUCAGAUGAGCAUAGUGAACCAGGCUAUUGCACUCUUUGUUCAUUCUGAUGAUUGCUGCCUCAUCAGAUGUCCUGGGCCUUUCAUCACAUUUGCCUUUGUUGUUUCCCAGAUGGUGAGUGGUCGUUCCUUUUCUUGGCUGCAUUGCUGAAAUCCAUGGUUUCUGCAUGUUUUCUUUUGGGUAGUGCCAUAAUUUAGUAUAGGGUCAUUGUGUUUGUGGCUAGCAACAAUGUUAUAACAACGGCGGAUGUCCAUAGUUUUUUUUGUUGAAACAGAUGUCCAUAGUUGGGUUCAUUCUGUCAAGAAAGUAGAAAACAGUGAAAUUUAGUACUUGACAUUUAUAUGUACAAGAACCAUUAAAACAGUUAUUUUUCUUUGAGGUGGCAACCCUUAAAGCUGUCUAUAGCGACUUGAACUUUGCACUAGCAAAGAGCGUUGGCUGUUUUAGGGCUGGAUUGAUAUGGUUAUACAACUUACUCCUGCUUUUGACCCUUGUUUUAAUUUGUAAGUUGCUGGGUUGAAUGCUAGAGUUUGCAAAUUAUUAAAUUUUAUUUUCCAUAUUCCAUUACUUAUCUUUUGCAGAAAGCAUAAAUUUUCUGUUAUUUGACAGUUCACAAAUUGAGACGCUCAAAGAUGACUAGUGAAAAAUUGUUGACAAUAUGCAUGCAAUCAGCCAUUCUACGCAUAGUUGUUCUCUGGUGCGACACUCAAAGAUGACUAGUGAAAAAUUGUUGACAAUAUGCAUGCAAUCAGUCAUUCUAUGCAUAGUUGUUCUCUGGUGUUCGUAUGUGAUACUUGAUGUUAGGGUACAACAGCCAGUCUUCAGUUGGAUUGAUCGAAUGCAUUGCUGUGACCUUUCGUUUUUGGAGUGUAUCCCCUGUAAAUCUCUCAAGUAAAGAAAUAUCUGCCAGAAGAUUUUCCAUCUGACCGACCCUUCAUGAUUCAGUUUACAGCUGUGAAGUCACUACUUUAUGUUAGUAAGAUUAAAAAUUUUGCUGGAGCUACAGAAUGUUCAUUGAUUUACUCUAUGCUCUACAGUCAAGAAGCAAUAUGUUUGGAAGAGAAAUAUGUAAUGCCCCCUAUUCUAGAACACAUACAGACAUACAGUACCCUGAAAGUUGAGCAUGCUAUCUUUUGGAUCAAUGUUACGCUUGUAACAGAUUGAUUAAACCUGAAGAAACUAGCUUGUCCAUUCUUAACAUUUUACUUCUUUUUUUUCUAUGCAAUUCCAUUUUUGUCAGUUUUCUUUAUCUACUCAUUUUAACAUUUCUUGUUUCCAUGUAGAAGUAUAUUCCACUUUCUACUCACUGUUCUAUUUGUUAGUAUAGCAUGUUGCAGAUUUCAGCCCUUUCAGAUUUUUGUUCUAUUUUCCUCUACCAUAUUGAGCUGAAAGGAGUUUAUCUCCAGCACUGGAUCAAUAAUGAAAGUUGAAGGCUGAAAAAUUAAACUUUCCUGAGUGUGGAUGGGGCAAACAAAUCUCUGGCUUAUAACUGGCUAAAAUCUAUGCGAUCUGUUUUUGGUUUACGAAACAUGCAAUCUUAUUAUUUAUGAUGAUAUGAAAAUGUCCAAGAAAAGCUACCUGUGAUCUCCUGUAAAAUUCUCUAAAGAAAGUAUGAGGAUAAUAUUUCAUUGACCUUCAGAUUGUUACUUGAUCAGGUAAUUGCAUCCGCUAAUAGUACCGUGACACAAUCUUCAAGCCCUCUAUAAAUACUAUCAAUUUUCAAGUGGUGUUUAGAUAUCUUAUCUUCGUAGAUUUAAAAUUAUUUAGUGUUUACAGUGGCAAUCGAGCAGGUCAUGCGUGACCCAGGUGGCUGCUGGAGUCUGCAGGAACUGCUGUGCAUAUGCAUCAAUUGGUUCCUGCCUCAGUAGUUUUAUGGUGGUGCAGUCAGCAAGCCUCACGAUCACAUUGGCAGAGAAGGACUGAUCUCUGAUAGUGGGAUUCUUCCUUUUCUUUUAUAAAGGUCAGUGAGAUUGAGAAAGAGACGCAAUCAUAUACCAAUUCUCAAGAGGACAAAGGACCUGGUUCCAGGUUUCUUGGUUUCAAACUCCAACUGCCUCCA